rnacentral:rRNA from 1 species
AUUGAACGCUGGCGGCAGGCCUAACACAUGCAAGUCGAACGAGUGGCGGACGGGUGAGUAAUGUCUGGGAAACUGCCUGAUGGAGGGGGAUAACUACUGGAAACGGUAGCUAAUACCGCAUACCAUCAGAUGUGCCCAGAUGGGAUUAGCUAGUUGGUGGGGUAACGGCUCACCAAGGCGACGAGCCCUAGCUGGUCUGAGAGGAUGACCAGAGACGCUGGAACUGAGACACGGUCCAGACACCUACGGUAGGGAGCAGUGGGGAAUAUUGAACACUGGGCGCAAGCCGGAUGCAGCCAUGCCGGGUGUAUGAAGAAGGCCGUCGGGUUGUGAAGUACUGUCAGCGGGGAGGCGUUACCCGAAGAAGAAGCACCGGCUAACUCCGGGCCAGCAGCCGCGGUAAUUC